UACGGAGGUGCAAGCGUUAUCCGGAUUCAUCUGGGGUUUAAAGGGUAGCGUAGGUGGAUUGGUAAGUCAGUGGUGAAAUCUCUGGGCUUAACUCAGAAACUGCCAUUGAUACUAUCAGUCUUGAAUACCGUGGAGGUCAGCGGAAUAUGUCAUGUAGCGGUGAAAUGCUUAGAUAUGACAUAGAACACCAAUUGCGAAGGCAGCUGGCUACACGAAUAUUGACACUGAGGCACGAAAGCGUGGGGAGUCAAACAG
rnacentral:rRNA from 1 species